rnacentral:rRNA from 1 species
UACGUAGGACCCAAGCGUUGUCCGGAUUUACUGGGUGUAAAGGGUGCGUAGGCGGGCAGGUGCGUCAAGGGUGAAAUUUCCCGGCUUAACUGGGAAGGUGCCUUUGAUACGGCUUGUCUUGAGUGCGAGAGAGGAUGAUGGAAUUCCUGGUGUAGCGGUGAAAUGCGUAGAUAUCAGGAGGAACACCCGUGGCGAAGGCGGUCAUCUGGCUCGUAACUGACGCUGAGGCACGAAAGCGUGGGGAUCAAACAGG